rnacentral:rRNA from 1 species
GACGAACCGAGCGAACGUUGUUCGGAAUCACUGGGCUUAAAGCGCACGUAGGCGGUUCGUUAUGUCGGAUGUGAAAGCCCUUGGCUUAACCGAGGAAGUGCAUCCGAAACUGGCGAGCUAGAGUACUAAAGAGGAUCGCGGAAUUCCCGGUGUAGAGGUGAAAUGCGUAGAUAUCAGGAGGAACACCUGCGGUGUAGACGGCUUUCUGGACCAUUACUGACGCUGAGACACGAAAGCGUGGGUAGCAAACAGG